rnacentral:rRNA from 1 species
UACGUAGGGGGCAAGCGUUGUCCGGAUUUAUUGGGCGUAAAGAGCGUGUAGGCGGUUAGGUAGGUCCGUUGUGAAAACUCGAGGCUCAACCUCGAGACGCCGAUGGAAACCAUCUAACUAGAGUCCGGAAGAGGAGAGUGGAAUUCCUGGUGUAGCGGUGAAAUGCGCAGAUAUCAGGAAGAACACCCGUGGCUAAAGGCGGCUCUCUAGUACGGUACUGACGCUGAGACGCGAAAGCGUGGGGAGCGAACAGG